GCAGCUGACUCUCUAUUCUUGAUCUUUCUCCUUAGUCUCCUAUCAAUAGUCUUAUCGAUGUCCAUAGCACCCCUCUUCCGGUCAGAAACUGGUGUAUCAGACAGCGAAGGAGAUGGUGACAAGCCUAUUGGAGGCACAAAAUUUUGCAUUGCCGUAGGAUUAUCCAAUGACAUUGUAUGUCCUAAAGAAGCAUCAGCAACGAAAAGCCCGGCUUUCACCAAGUAGUCCUCCAAAGUAGUCUCACCAAGGGUUAGCUCUCUCUCCUGGCUGUUCAUCUCCUCAAGAUUUAUCACCUUCUGCCCUUAUUGUAUGUCUCUCCCCACACUUUAUCA
rnacentral:misc_RNA from 1 species